GGAGUUAGGAAAUGCAAGGAUGUUAAUAGCGUUCUUGCUUGACUAAGGCUCCGGAGGAAGCCACGGCUAACUCUGUGCCAGCAGCCGCGGUAAUACAGAGGCGGCAAGCGUUGUUCGGAAUUAUUGGGCGUAAAGAGCACGUAGGCGGCCUUGCAAGUCAGUUGUGAAAGCCUUCCGCUUAACGGAAGAAGGGCAUCUGAUACUACAGGGCUUGAGUACGGGAGGGGAGAGUGGAACU
rnacentral:rRNA from 1 species